UACGUAGGGGGCGAGCGUUGUCCGAAUUCACUGGGCGUAAAGCGCGCGUAGGCGGACGCUUAAGUUGUGGGUGAAAUCCCGAGGCUCAACCUCGGAGCUGCCUGCAAAACUGGGCGUCUUGAGGUAUGGAGAGGGAAGUGGAAUUCCAGGUGUAGCGGUGAAAUGCGUAGAUAUCUGGAGGAACACCCGUGGCGAAGGCGGCUUCCUGGCCAUAUCCUGACGCUGAGGUGCGAAAGCUAGGGGAGCGAACGGG
rnacentral:rRNA from 1 species